GUAUAAAGGAAAGAGAGAGAAACUGGGGAAAUGGCCAUGAAGGGAAAAGAGCAAGAAAGAGAAAGAAGAGACUAGAAGAGGCGAGAAAGCGAGGGAUGUAGACAGAAGCAAGAGAUGAGCAAGAAAAGAUGACAGCAGAUCAGAUUAUAGAGGAAAGAAGAAAGAGAGAAGCAGAAGAGAGGGGAAAAAGGAUAAGGGAAUCCAAAUAUAAUAUACACUAUGGAAAUAUAGCCAAAGAAAAAUUACCAAAGUACCUAGAAGGGAGGAUGAAGUGGAAAGACAGAAGAAUACUGACAAGAUUCAGAUGUGGAAACGAGAUCAAAGCAAGGGAAUACUGGAAGGAAGAGGGAGAAAAAAGAUGUAGAUAUAUAAGAAAAGAAUUAGACAUAAAAGAUGUAAAACCGAAAGUUCGUCCAAAGCCGAAAGGCACGGAUUAAGCAACAAUAAAUAAA
rnacentral:misc_RNA from 1 species